UAAAUACUACCUGAUGACCGAUAGAGGAGCAGUACCGUGAGGGAAAGGUGAAAAGAACCCCGGGAGGGGAGUGAAAUAGUACCUGAAACCUUGUGCUUACAAGCAGUCAGAGCCCGUUAAAGGGUGAUGGCGUACUUUUUGUAGAACGGUCCGGCGAGUUAUGGUAACUGGCGAGCUUAAGGUAUUGAGUACCGGAGGCGCAGCGAAAGCGAGUGUUAAUAGCGCGAAUGAAGUCAGUUGCUAUAGACCCGAAACCAGGUGACCUAGCCAUGACCAGGCUGAAGUGGAGGUAAAGCUCCAUGGAGGGCCGAACCCACGUUCGUUGCAAUGACCGGGGAUGAGUUGUGGCUAGCGGUGAAAUUCCAAACGAACUUGGAGAUAGCUGGUUCUCCCCGAAAUAGCUUUAGGGCUAGCGUGGAAAAUGAGUUUCGCGGCGGUAAAGCACUGAAUGGGCUAGGGGGCGAUAAGCUUACUGAACCCUAUCAAACUAAGAAUGCCGCAGAAAUGCUCUUCCGCAGUCAGACUGCGAGUAAUAAGAUCCGUAGUCAAAAGGGAAAUAGCCCAGACCCACAGCUAAGGUCCCCAAUACAUGCUAAGUGGAAAACGAUGUGAGAUUGCGAAAACAACCAGGAUGUUGGCUUAGAGGCAGCCACUCGUUCAAAGAGUGCGUAAUAGCUCACUGGUCGAGUGAUCUUGCGCGGAAAAUUUAACGGGGCUAAGCAUGUAACCGAAGCUUGGGAAUAUCCUAUGGAUAUUGGUAGGGGAGCGUCGUGUACGGGGUGAAGUCGCACCGGAAGGAGCGGUGGACUGUACAGGAGUGAGAAUGCCGGAAUGAGUAGCGAGAAUUAUGUGGGAAUCAUAAUGGCCGAAAAUCUAAGGUUUCCUGGGGAAGGUUCGUCCGCCCAGGGUUAGCCGGGAGCUAAGGCGAGGCCGCAAGGCGUAGUCGAUGCACAUACGGUAGAAAUUCCGUAGCCACCGAACUUUAAGCAUGCUGACACUUUGGAAUAGGGGAUCCCGGGCGUUGGUUGACCCGGGCGUAAGGGACCGAAAUAUAGUAGGGAAGUCGGCGAUGUCCAGAGGCGAGAAAAGGUGUGAGGUAUACUAAGGUGCCCGUACCGCAAACCGACACAGGUAGAUGAGGAGAGAAUCCUAAGGCCAACGGGAGAAGGGUUGUUAAGGAACUCGGCAAAAUGACCCCGUAACUUCGGGAUAAGGGGAGCUCCCUAAGGGGAGCCGCAGAGAAUAGGCCCAAGCGACUGUUUACCAAAAACACAGGUCUAUGCUAAAUCGAAAGAUGACGUAUAUGGGCUGACGCCUGCCCGGUGCUGGAAGGUUAAGAGGAGGGCUUAGCGCAAGCGAAGGUCUGAAUUGAAGCCCCAGUAAACGGCGGCCGUAACUAUAACGGUCCUAAGGUAGCGAAAUUCCUUGUCAGGUAAG
rnacentral:rRNA from 1 species